GUCUGUGGCCACACCACCCUGAACAUGCCUGAUCUCAGCUGACCUCACAAGCUAAGCAGGGCUGCGCCUUGGUAGCACUUGGAUGGGGCAAAAUGUGCAUGUUUAUUCAUUUCCAUUGAGAAUGAGAGCUUGAAGAUG
rnacentral:rRNA from 1 species